AUUGAACGCUGGCGGCAUGCCUUAACACAUGCAAGUCGAGCGAUGAAGCACCUUCGGGUGUGAAUUAGCGGCGAACGGGUGAGGAACACGUGAGAAAUCUGCCUUCAACUCUGGGAUAACUCCGUGAAAACGGGGCUAAUACCGGAUAUGAAACCUGCGGGCAUCCGCGGGUUUGGAAAGUUUUUCGGUUGAAGAUGAUCUCGCGGCCUAUCAGCUUGUUGGUGAGGUAAUGGCUCACCAAGGCGACGACGGGUAGCCGGCCUGAGAGGGCGACCGGCCACACUGGGACUGAGACACGGCCCAGACUCCUACGGGAGGCAGCAGUGGGGAAUAUUGGGCAAUGGAGGAAACUCUGACCCAGCGACGCCGCGUGCGGGAUGAAGGCCUUCGGGUUGUAAACCGCUUUCAGCAGGGAAGAAGCGAAAGUGACGGUACCUGCAGAAGAAGCACCGGCUAACUAUGUGCCAGCCGCCGCAGUAA
rnacentral:rRNA from 1 species